GAUGAACGCUGGCGGCGUGCUUAACACAUGCAAGUCGAGCGAAGCAGUUAAGUUGAUUUCUUCGGAUUGAUUCUUAAUUGACUGAGCGGCGGACGGGUGAGUAACGCGUGGGUGACCUGCCCCAUACCGGGGGAUAACAGCUGGAAACGGCUGCUAAUACCGCAUAAGCGCACAGAGCUGCAUGGCUCGGUGUGAAAAACUCCGGUGGUAUGGGAUGGGCCCGCGUCUGAUUAGGCAGUUGGCGGGGUAACGGCCCACCAAACCGACGAUCAGUAGCCGGCCUGAGAGGGCGACCGGCCACAUUGGGACUGAGACACGGCCCAAACUCCUACGGGAGGCAGCAGUGGGGAAUAUUGCACAAUGGGGGAAACCCUGAUGCAGCGACGCCGCGUGAGCGAAGAAGUAUUUCGGUAUGUAAAGCUCUAUCAGCAGGGAA
rnacentral:rRNA from 1 species